CAUUCAGAGAUGCUUGACAUCCAAGUGUCAGUAAAUUAAUACAUUUAUGUUAACAUGGAAGGAAUUGACAAAUGAAUGUUAAAUUGAUACAUAAAACAAUGAGUAGGGGGUUGGGGAUUUAGCUCAGUGGUAGAGUGCUUGCCUAGCAAGCACAAGGCCCUGGGUUCGGUCCCCAGCUCCGAAAAAAAAAAAAAAAAAAAAAAACAAUGAGUAGGCUUGCCCUAUUAAAUUUUCUUAAAUUUGUGAAUUGUUGUGAAUAAUUAUUUCAUUAAAAACAAUGAUGGACAAGCAGGCAAGUUAAGCUUUUCCAUUCCUGGGUCUUAAGUCAUAAUGCUUCUAAUGGGCAUCCAUUAUUAGAAUCACAGAAUUUGUUCUACAAGCCAAAGGUGCCUUUCAUAGUAUUGAAAUUGUGAGAAGCAGUCGGACAGAGAUUUGUACAGGUGAAGAACCUACCUUUAUCUAGUUGUCAAGUAUCCUCUGGAGCAAUAGAAUUUGGAGGCUCUGCAACAGUGAAGGCCAGCCACAAUAAAAAUCACAUACUUACCAAUAAAUAUGAAUACAUUUCUUAAUGUGGG
ensembl:lncRNA